rnacentral:misc_RNA from 1 species
AAAAGACACUCGUGAUGAUCAGCUCAGAAGCUUCGAGAACCUCACCGUUGGCACAAACAAGAGCAAGCGAUGAACAUUAGUGCUAUACAUUUGGUAAAAAAUGGUGCUGCCUUAUUCAGGGCAAGUGAUCAUUUUCCAUUCUGCUUCGCGUAAUCACAAAAAAAGUUUAUAUGCCUAAAUUACAAUACACUUUGCCCAUUCGACAAAACUCAUAGACGCCAUAUUCAUCACCAUUCCCAAUGAUCUGUUCUGAAGUAGUUCUGUAAAUUCAUCAGGAAGAAGACACAAAUUUACCCAGAAACUGGUGGACAUUUGAGGCUAGUCUUCCUUAUAGGAUUGCAACUAUGGGUAGAAUACUGAGUGUCUGCAAUCUUCAUGUAGCAUUUCUAUUGCACUUGUAUGUCAGUGUACCUCAUGGGGUGCAAAAUGGCCUCAAAAUUAUCAGAUUUGAAUAAGAGUUAAGAAAUGUUUGCCUAUUGUUGAUCCUGCUUUGUUUCAAAAUUAU